UUUUGAUAAUGGUUUAUCUAUUAAUAUUCAUAAAUCGAACUAUAUUAUUGAACAAUUAAACAAUAUUUUAAAAUGAAAAUAAAAGUUUCCGAUAAUAAUUUAAUUGAAAUUAAAAGUUAAGAAAAUAAUUUUAUGUUUGAUAAUAUUCUUUGUGAUAAUCUAGGGAUUAAGUUUGAUAAUUUUUCGAAAAUUGGAAUUUAUCCAACAAGUAAAACAUCUAAUAUUCCUUUAGAAUUACAUUGUAAUAUAGUC